GUCUAUCAAGUGGUCGGAUCGAGCGCAGAUUUAUAACCUGAUUACAGAAAAAAAAUGACAAGUGAAAAGCUGGAACUUUUUAUGCAUACUAGAAAUAGUAUAAAAGAACAAAACUGGACAUGAACUCAGGAGUCAUACCUCAGCACUAAUUCCUUCCUUAGCAAGAAUUUCAGCAGCCUAUAAAAGUUAAUAUGUUAUCACGCAUAGAAUCGAAACAAGUAUAACUAAAGACAAGGUCAUACUAUAUAUUGUUUAUGCAUCAACAUCAAAUCCAAGCAAUAUUAUUAUCUCCUGUGAAAUUCCACUCUAGCAAACUAGCAGAUCGUAAGUUGUAUGAGACUAUUCUUCGAAUAUUAAGGGCAUUUGUACUAGGAUCUAAACUUCAGCAGCUACGAGUGAAUACUUACUAAUUUAACACAAUCCAAGGCUUAACAUAUUAUUUUACUUAUCAAAAAGAAAAAAAAAGCUUAAAACAAUCCAAGACGCAGAGAAAAAAAUAAAAGCUAGUUGCUCAAAACCAGUCAAAUUCAAGCCAUCUUCAAGUCCUGAAACAGAA
rnacentral:lncRNA from 1 species